UACGGAGGGAGCUAGCGUUAUUCGGAAUUACUGGGCGUAAAGCGCACGUAGGUGGCUUUGUAAGUUAGAGGUGAAAGCCUGGAGCUCAACUCCAGAAUUGCCUUUAAGACUGCAUCGCUUGAAUCCAGGAGAGGUGAGUGGAAUUCCGAGUGUAGAGGUGAAAUUCGUAGAUAUUCGGAAGAACACCAGUGGCGAAGGCGGCUCACUGGACUGGUAUUGACGCUGAGGUGCGAAAGCGUGGGGAGCAAACAGG
rnacentral:rRNA from 1 species